ACAAUGGAGAGUUUGAUCCUGGCUCAGGAUGAACGCUAGCUACAGGCUUAACACAUGCAAGUCGAGGGGAAACGACAUCGAAAGCUUGCUUUUGAUGGGCGUCGACCGGCGCACGGGUGAGUAACGCGUAUCCAACCUGCCCAUCACUUGGGGAUAACCUUGCGAAAGUAAGACUAAUACCCAAUGAUAUCUCUAGAAGACAUCUGAAAGAGAUUAAAGAUUUAUCGGUGAUGGAUGGGGAUGCGUCUGAUUAGCUUGUUGGCGGGGUAACGGCCCACCAAGGCGACGAUCAGUAGGGGUUCUGAGAGGAAGGUCCCCCACAUUGGAACUGAGACACGGUCCAAACUCCUACGGGAGGCAGCAGUGAGGAAUAUUGGUCAAUGGACGAGAGUCUGAACCAGCCAAGUAGCGUGCAGGAUGACGGCCCUAUGGGUUGUAAACUGCUUUUAUAAGGGAAUAAAGUGAGUCUCGUGAGACUUUUUGCAUGUACCUUAUGAAUAAGGACCGGCUAAUUCCGUGCCAGCAGCCGCGGUAAUACGGAAGGUCCGGGCGUUAUCCGGAUUUAUUGGGUUUAAAGGGAGCGUAGGCCGGAGAUUA
rnacentral:rRNA from 1 species